CAACCCUCAAGCCUGGCUUGGUGAUGGGGCACUACUUCCUCAAGGGAGUAGGCCCUGAAAUUCAGUGGCGAGCUCGCCAGGACCCCGAGCGUAGUAGUUAUAUCUCGCUUUGGAAGGCCCUGGCGGUGCCCUGCCGUUAAACCCCCAACUUCUGAAA
rnacentral:misc_RNA from 1 species